rnacentral:tRNA from 1 species
CAGGAUGUAGCAUAGUCUGGUAAUGCGUCUGUUUUGGGUACAGAAGAUCACGUGUUCAAAUCACGUCAUCCUG